AUGGCAGAGAUUGUGAUUCUUCUAGCCAUUAAAAAGAUCGGAAUUGCCUUGGCAAAGGGAGCAACAGACCAGGCUAGUGUCCAGCUUAUGAAGUAUGGCACGCAACUACUUGAGCUACAGGGCAGCAUGAGCCGGGUUGCUAGGAAGCUUCGCUUAAUCCAUGAUGUUCUCUGUCAAAUGGACAUUCGAAACCGCAACAAUCAAAUAUAUGAGGGCUGGUUGGAGGACGUACGGAAAGUAGCACAUGUAAUGGAGGGCAUGGUGGAUGAGUACUUGUAUGUAGUUGGUCAGGAACAUGAUAUAGGUUGUUCCUUUUUCCCGAAGAAAGUGUUUCAAAAGCCAAUAUCUCUGCUUUCUUUGAACCGGAUAGCUUUCAAGGUGAAGGAAAUUGAGAAAGACCUUUCACACCUGUCAGAGGCAAAAAUCCGUUUGGUUCCCAUGAUAAACAUCAGGGAUACUAGCAACUUGAAUUACAUUGUCAAGAGAUCCCACGAUCUGGCUAACAUUUCACGCUCCCUUUAUGAAGAAGAUCUAGUGGGAAUUGAUAAAAAUAGAGAAAAGCUCGAGCAGUGGUUGGCAAGUGAUGAUAUGGAAUGCUCUGUGAUAGCUUUUCUUGGAAUGGGAGGACUUGGUAAGACAGCUUUAGCUGCUAAUGUCUAUAGGACACAGAGAGUAAAAUUCCAAUGCCAUGCCUGGGUUGCGAUCUCUCAAACUUAUUCUAGAGAAGACGUAUUGAGGAAUAUAGUCAAAGAACUUUCAAUAAACGAAGCCAAUGUUCUAUCAAACACUCUGACUAUGGAUAUCACAAGUCUUGAAGAAACACUGAGGAAAUUUCUAGAGAAAAAUAAGUAUUUGAUCAUAUUGGAUGAUGUGUGGACUACAGAAGCAUUUGAUGACUUAUCUAGGAUGCUUAUUCAUAAUGAUAAGGGCAGUAGACUGAUAAUCACAACAAGGGAAGGCCAUGUUGCUGCACUUGCCUCUAGGGGACAUAUCUUAGCACUAGAAGUUUUAGCAGAAGACAAGGCAUGGGAUCUAUUUUGUAAGAAAUCAUUUCCAGGAGAAGCAAAUCAUGAUUGUCCUACAAAAUUGAAGUCUUUGUCCAAAGAAAUAGUUAUCAAGUGCAAAGGCUUGCCCCUUGUUGUCGUGUUAGUUGGUGGCCUUUUGCGUGUGCAUGAGAAAACUGUGGAGGAAUGGAGAAGAAUAAAUGUCCAGUUGAGUUGGGAGAUAAUUAAUAAUUUGAGGCUUGACCAUGUAAGGAAUGUUUUGCAUCUGAGCUUCAUCUACCUCCCAACACACUUGAAAAGUUGUUUCAUGUACUGCAGUUUAUUUCCAGAAGACUAUUUCUUUAAACGGAAACAAAUUAUACGGUUAUGGAUAGCCGAGGGGUUCAUUGAGGAGAGGGGUGAAAGCACAUUAGAAGAAGUGGCAGAGGGCUAUCUAAAAGAGUUGAUUGAUAGAAACAUGCUACAACUUGUUGAGAGGAACUCAUUUGGUAGGAUAAAAGAAUUCAGGAUGCAUGAUAUAUUGCGUGAAUUGGCUAUUGAUUUGUGCCAGAAGAACUGUUUUGGUGUUACAUAUGAGGUUAAAUGUGGGGGCUCUCUUCAGGUUGUUGGACGCCGAUUGGUACUUCCAUACAUAAAAUAUGAUAUUCAACAGUCAUUUUCUAGUUUGCACCAACUUCGAACUAUCAUUACAUUGGGCAAUAGCAAGUCAUCAUUCACUCUACUACCACUGCUAUGCAUGGAGUCAAGAUAUAUGACGGUGCUAGAAUUAAGUGGUCUACCCAUUGAGAAGAUUCCAGAUGUUAUUGGAGAUCUUUUUAAUCUCCACCAUUUGGGUUUGCGUAAUUCAAAGGUGAAGAUGCUCCCAAAGUCUAUUGAGAAGCUUUCAAAUUUGUUGACACUGGACCUUUGUAAAUCUGACAUACAUGAAUUGCCUAGUGGGAUUGUGAAACUGAAGAAGCUCAGGCACUUAUUUGUUGAGAAAAUAAAUGAUCCGGAUUGGAGAAACAUUAAUCAUCUCAGUGGCAUGUGUAUACCCAAUGGAGUCGGGAAUCUGACAAACCUGCAGACACUACAAGCAUUGGAAGCACAAGAUGAGUCACUUAGACAUUUAGGGGAGCUGAGACAACUAAGAAGCUUGAGGUUAUUGAAUGUGAAGGGAAUCUACUGUGGACGCAUCUGUGAAUCUCUAGUUCAUAUGCGGCAUUUGUCCUUGCUAUCGGUGAAUGCAAGUGAUGAGAAUGAGGUUCUCCUAUUGAAUGUUUUCCUGCCAAGCCUGCAAAAGCUAAGAUUGAGAGGACGGCUAGCGCAAGGGGCGUUAGAUGAGUCUCCUAUCUUCCAAGUUGUUGGAGGCCAGAACUUGUAUGAGUUAGUUCUAUCUUUUUCACAGCUGAGAGAAGACCCCUUGCCAUCCCUUUCUUGGUUGUCAAACUUGACGCGCCUACAUUUCACUAGAGCAUACACAGGAGAGCAUUUGAAAUUUCUCACGGGGUGGUUUCCCAAGCUAAAGGUUCUCUCUCUAACAGACCUGCCUAAUUUGAAAUAUCUAGAGAUACAGGAAGGUGCCAUGGGGUGUCUGGAAAAUUUGUUUUUAAUCAAGCUCACUAGCAUGACCGAGGUCCCACUUGGCAUUGAGUUCCUCAUGCCUCUUGAGUAUCUAGGCUUCCACGAAAUCACCGGCGAGUUCCUGACAUUGCUGCGCCAUUGUUCUGCAAUUCGAGGGACGCGGUUGAGGUAUUCACUCCGAGAUUGA
rnacentral:rRNA from 1 species